AAACUUUGGAAACUUUUCAGAAAAUAAUCUGUAUACCCAUAGAUCAGAGGUACACAAUUUAGUUUACCAUUCAAAUUAAGAAAUGGAAUCUAUAACAUAAAAAUCUUCAAUAAUAUAUAAAUGAAUCGCAAAAUGUGUUGGAUCGUUUUACCGCGACGAGAUAAAUUCGAAUAGUUGCCAGAAAAACCGUGAAGACAAUAGUUUUCUAAAUAAAAUAUUAACGAAACAAAUUCCGCAGCUUUCUUCGAUUUAUUUUUGAUUAAUUGUUUUAUAUCGUGUUUUGUUAUAAUUUGUUCCUGAAAGGAUGGCCACAGUUCGUGGAAGCGAAGAUACUUUGAUCCCCCGAGCUGAACCCACACACCACCCUAUUUCCAGGGUGACGGUUCUGCUCAGGAGACAUUUUGCGCCGACUGUAAAGUAGAUAGGAAUAAAAAAUUGCUACAUUCCAAAUCUUUUUGACAGAACGAAGUCUGUCGGGGCCACUAGUAUUUAAAACUUAUAUAAGCUGCAGUCAGGGUAAUUUUGUGCUUCUUAAAAUUCUACUCAUCAAAAUGAUGCACUGCAAAUCAUGCAACCUUUCAAUUAAUAAUUUGUAAAUUAUUUACUCAGGAUUUAAAUCAAAAUACAUAUGCGGUUAUGCCAAUGAUUUACAACCUAGAUGUGUAACUCGAUGAAAGACCGACAACAUUAAAUACAUAGUCAAUUAUAAAAAAUAAAAUAGCCUAAAUAAUUACGACAAUUAGCUAUGUACACAAAUAGAAAAAUACAUAAUAAUAGUAACUAGGAUCGUCUUCUGCGCCUACUAAAUAUUUUUAAACCCAAAUUUCGUAUUUUGAUUCCAAUUGCUUCAAUUUACAUUCAUAACAAGAUAAAUUAUUUAACAAUGAUGUCAAUUGUUGGACAGCUUACGUUACAAAUACAGUUCGAUUUCUUUGAUAUUAAUCCAUCUAAUAAUAUAGAAAAUAUUAACAAUGUUCAAUGAUGUUAUAUCUUUUAGUCCGCUUUAAAUGUUUUCGAUGACAACAAGGCACCUUCAAGG